rnacentral:lncRNA from 10 species
AAGCAAGAGAGGCUGGUGUAGCAGAAGUAGAAUUAUAACUGUGUUAGAAAAGAAAAAAAGCUUUCAACUUGGCUACUGCACAGGUCUUUAGCCAUGUUAACUUCAUUGGGCAGUAACUUCCCUAUUAUUAAUCAGUUUGCAAAUGCCUUAAGAAGAAAAAAUGACAAAGAACUUCCAGCAAGAUAAAAGUACUGAACGGCCUUGGUAGCUCUGCUACUUUCCAAUGAAUACAGGUUUGCUUUGUUGACAUGUUAGAAGCUAUUCUCAAACCUGUAAAUGAAAAUGAGUGAUAAGGAAACCUGUUCCAAACAUAUUGCAGCAACCUGGUCCCAGCUAGCCUGAGCACUACUGCUAAGUCCAGCACAAGUGAUCAGCCAGAGGUACUGAGGAAACGCUUCUGUCUUCUGGUACAGGAUAAUGAACAUCCCCAAAUUUCAGAGUUCAUGACCUCUCAGAGUACAGAAAUCACACAACACUGCGAAAUACUUCUGUAAUUCUCUGCUGGAAAAAUUCAAUUUUAUGACAGUCAUUUGAGAGGAAGUGUUGCUAGACCUGAUAUAUAGCUUUU